CAAAAGUUUUGCUGUAAAUACUCUCUCAUUAAUCUCUCAUUAUUUUUUCCCUUUUUUAGGCCAACAAUACCAAAGACCAACAGUAAAGGACAGUACUAAUCUCUGUAGCAGGGAAGUGUGACUAACACCACAAAUUUGUAAUUUAGCAGACUCACCUGAGAAAAACUGAGUAUAAAUGACCACAACUCUUAUAACGAUUAAUUUUACCUGGGCAUUUCAAGGCCAAGUCAGCAAGAGAGAUUUAGAUCAGAGACACGGAUUUUGUUACUCAUAACUCAGCAAGCAGCAUAAACAUCAGCAUAUUUGGAGUCCUAAACCUCCCUUCUUACUGAGCGACACUAAGGGAGCCAGGUACCCCCACAGGUUCAGUUAAGUUGUAUUACAGGAGAGAAACCCUGCACUUGGAGAAUCUGAAAGUUUCAUACUGGGAAACCAGCUUGCUGACCCGUUACUUGGGAUGGGGAUAAUACCUCUGUCUUCCGUGAGUGUUCACUACACAAAUAUAGUCUGGGACAAAAGUCAGCGCUUCUGCUUGCAAGAUAUACAGAAAAUGAGAGACCUACAGAAAACUGUCUCUCAACAACAUUAGCAGCUGGUUUCAUGGAAAAAAGCCAAAGAGUAAAACACAAACCUACCACCUUCCUGCUUUUUGAGACUACAUCUCUCCUGGAAGAAACACGGCCACAACUAAUCAAUUCUCGAAUUGCCAUGACUUUCAGAUUGCUAACCAUAUUUUCUGGGGCAGUGUGGGCUUUUCUUUUGUGCUGCUGGGGGACGGACCCUCUGGGCAUGUACGCCCGUGCUCUUCAGGGAUGGUUACUGGAGUUACCGAGAACCAGUGGUUUCACUGGAGUGCUAUCAGCUACACCGGAAGGAACAACAGAGAAUGAAAAAGAAGGUAAAAGGAAGCUGAGUGAAGGAGUUUGGUUGAGUCCUGUUUCUUGGAUAAGCAAAGAUUUGGCAUCCUUUUGCCUGGCUGUGAGCAGAAAGUCCUUGAUUUUAUCCAUUUUUUGAGGCAUGGCUCUGAGAGGCGCAGGAGAACGUGCGGCUGGCACUGCGAGCUGUAGUAACUAGAGCCUACCUCCCAGUGAUCAAGAUCCUAAGCGGACCUCCCACGGACACACCGACACCAUGACCACAUGUAGCACAGUCUCCGAGAACGACCUGAAGCCUGGCAGAACAGGUGUUCCGCAACUAAAGGUAAAAAGAAAAAGCCACAUUGAGACAGGUGGGAGAGGCCGAGAUGUGGUCUAGUCAGUGAGCAUACCCCCUGCAUGGUGACCCACAGCAGGAGGGAUAUCACGAGUGUGGAAGUCCUCCCUGAGAAGGGAGGGGUUCAGAUGCCUCAUUGGGUACCCUAGCCAUGGGGCUCCCCCUAGGAAGAUGAGUCCUUGUAAUACCCAGCCUUGAAAACCAGUGGGGCAAAGUCCAGGAGAGCUGGAGGACUGUGGGAAACCAAGACUUCACUCUUAAAGGGUUCAUACACAAACUCCCUCACUCUGAGACCCACGCCAGAGGUGGUGAUUUGAAAAGCACUUGGGUCAUAUGUGAAAAAGAUUCAUUGACUAAUUUUAGGGCAUGUGCUGGAGGGGCAGAGAUCUGUAGGAACUUUCCUUGGGAACAGUAUACUGUCAGGCACCACCAUUUUUACUCUCCUUCUACCUUGCUGGCCUGGUGCUGGCAGGUGCCAUUUUUGACUCUCUCCAUCUACCUUGCCGUCACUGCUCACCCUACCCCCAUGUUCCACUGUGGACCCACUGGGGCAGACAGUCUACCCCCCCAACCAAAGUGGCUUCCACCCCUACCAUUUAUAAGUGGAAUCUAAAAAGCAAAGAAACAAAAUGAAGAAAACAAAACAGAAACAGACUCAUAGAUACAAAGAACAAACUGGUGGUUGUCAGAGGGGAGAAGAUGGUUGUCAGAGGGGAGAAGAUGGUUGCCAGAGAGGUAAUGAGUGAAUGAGAUUGAGAUGUACAAACCUCCAGUUCUGAAAUAAAUAAGUCGUGGGAAUGUAAGUACA
rnacentral:lncRNA from 1 species